rnacentral:rRNA from 1 species
CUACGGAGGAUCCGAGCGUUAUCCGGAUUUAUUGGGUUUAAAGGGUGCGCAGGCGGCCAUUUAAGUCAGCGGUUAAAUCUUGGGGCUCAACCCCAUUCUGCCGUUGAUACUGGGUGGCUUGAUUGCGGUCGAGGUUGGCGGAAUUCGUUGUGUAGCGGUGAAAUGCAUAGAUAUGACGAAGAACACCGAUUGCGUAGGCAGCUGACCAGACCGCAAAUGACGCUCAUGCACGAAAGUGCGGGGAUCGAACAGGAUUAGAUACCCUGGUAGUCCGCACAGUAAACGAUGAAUACUUGUUUUCGGCGAUAUAAUGUCGGAGGCAAAGCGAAAGCGAUAAGUAUUCCACCUGGGGAGUACGCCGGCAACGGUGAAACUCAAAUGAAUUGGCGGGG